UGUGUCAGAGGACAAGAUCACCAUUCUCAAAUAGUCUUCACUGUUCUAAAGGAGAGCAGUUUGUGAGAGUGCUGCCUAAUAGGCUUCUGACAGAGCCAGCUGGGUAAAUCUAAGUCUGAGGUAAGAAUCUGUUCCAGUGGAGCUCAUCUAGCAGAAUGAGCUACCAAAUUUGUUGGUUCAGUUUCCAGGCAAGGAUGUGGCCAUCUGAGAAGUUUCAGUAGGAUCAGCUAUAGUCUCAUCAACAGUGGUGUAAAUCUGGAGGAUCAAAGUUAAGAAGCUCACUUCACUGUACUGUGGGACCAGCAAAUCUGAUGCAUGUGCAACUGGUGUGGAAGCCUGACACUGUCAAAAUUUGUUAUCAUGGGCUCUCUGCCAUCACCCCAGCUGGCAAAAAUGGGACACGGUUCCAGUGCAUGAAUGGAAGGUCAGCCAGGGGAUGCUCUGCUGUCACAGGAAGAGCCUUUCUGGGCUGACUUUCCUGGAAGUUGCUAAUGAUGUAUUUUGACCUCUCUGUUUUAGAGAUGUUUUGCAGUCAGCGAUACUCAGGGAGUGGCACUCCUUGAAACUGACACGUGCUUCAUCUGCUUGUGAAAUGUUGCAACCAAAGAUACCUCCUGUAAAACUUUAUUUGUAGCCUCACUGGAUCAUUAGGAAAAUUCUCUUAAUAAAGGAUGCUCCUGAA